UACGGAGGGGGCUAGCGUUGUUCGGAAUUACUGGGCGUAAAGGGUGCGCAGGCGGCCAAGUGUGUCAGGUGUGAAAUCCCGAGGCUUAACCUCGGAACUGCGCCUGAAACUACUUGGCUAGAGUACUGGAGAGGGUAACGGAAUUCACGGUGUAGCAGUGAAAUGCGUAGAUAUCGUGAGGAACACCAGAGGCGAAGGCGGUUACCUGGACAGUUACUGACGCUCAGGCACGAAAGCGUGGGGGAGCAAAAAGGG
rnacentral:rRNA from 1 species